rnacentral:rRNA from 1 species
UACAGAGGGGCAAGCGUUAUUCGGAAUUAUUGGCGUAAAGGGCGCGUAGGCGGCUUUGCAAGUGGCGGGUGAAAUCCCUCGGCUUAACCGAGGAACUGCCUGUCAAACUGCAUGGCUUGAGACCAGGAGAGGUGAGUGGAAUUCCCAGUGUAGCGGUGAAAUGCGUAGAUAUCUGGAGGAACACCGGUGGCGAAGGCGGCAUCCUGGACCAACACUGACGCUGAUGAGCGAAAGCCAGGGGAGCAAACGGG